AAAAAAUGGCGAGUGGAAGAGCAGUAGAAGCCCUUCGAGCUUACAGAUCAGUGUUGAAGGCCACUCAUAAAGCCUUCGCCGGAGAUACUUUCAUGCUCCAACAAUCCGCCGCCGAGGUCAGAAAGAAAUUCGAGGAGAAUCGCCACGUCUCAUCGGAGGCUGAUAUUCAGAGGCUAUUGGAGGAUGCAACUGAGGCCUCUUCGUUCAUAUCUACUAUGAUUAUCCAAGCCAAAGCUACACCUUCCGGUGCUUUUGUGGUAAAGCCUGAGAAAGAACAUGCUGGAGCAACGCUCGAGAUUCCUUCUGAAGAGAUUCUUAAGAAGUCAGCUUAAGCAUAUUCAAGGAAGCUCAGAGCAUUUAGACUGCUGUGUUAGCACUUUAAUCUUUCAUAAACUGUGAGUUUUUCUUGUGAGUUUCUCCACUUGGAAUUUUCUCAGAGGUUCUGCUUUCUCCAAGGUCAUCGCGUUUCAGUCUUUCCUGUUUUUGUUACAUUUAGGCCAUAAUUAGUGGAUACUGCAUCCAUCUAUCUACAUCUUUCUCCUUUGUGUAGCUACAAUCACCUUACAAAGCAAGCAGGUGCAGCUUUGCUUAAACAUGGCUAUUGUGAUAAAUGAUUAAAAGGUUAGUUGGACCAAAUGUGCCACUAAAUAGAGUUUAAAUUUUAUUUAUUGACGGUGUAAAAUAUUUGCACAAGUGUAAUUUUCCUUGCUCCAAUA
rnacentral:misc_RNA from 1 species